UACGUAGGUGGCAAGCGUUGUCCGGAUCUACUGGGCGUAAAGAGCGCGCAGGCGGUCGGAUAAGUCGAAUGUGAAAGCCCCCGGCUCAACUGGGGAGGGUCAUUCGAUACUGUUCGACUCGAAGGCAGGAGAGGGAAGUGGAAUUCCCGGUGUAGUGGUGAAAUGCGUAGAUAUCGGGAGGAACACCAGUGGCGAAGGCGACUUCCUGGCCUGUUCUUGACGCUGAGGCGCGAAAGCUAGGGGAGCAAACGGG
rnacentral:rRNA from 1 species